GUGUUGUGGCUCAGUGGCAGAGCACUUGCCUAGCAAGUGUGAGGCACUGGGUUCAAUUCUCAGCACUGCAUA
rnacentral:tRNA from 1 species